UUUGCCGCCCAACAACAGCACAUAACUCGCUGUCUUCCUUCCUCAUCUAUUUACUUCGCUGAUUUCUCGGGAUUAGACGUUAUUUCCGCGUUUCCAUAUCAUAGUUCGUUUCCAUAAACAACAUCUAACAAGCCCCACAAAUUCAUACAACAUGUUUUUGACACUCUCACACCUUCAAAACAUCUCUUCGUUCAACCUUGUCGGAGAGCACCUCCAGUCGCGGGAAUACCAAACAUAUCCUUCUUUCAAAGAAGCCGCAACUCUCUCUCUCUCUCUCACUGUUGAACCUUCGCCGGACAUCGAAACGCAUCGAGGACGACACCGCAAACCUCUGUUUCACCCGUACGUUUCACCGGUGCUCCAAACUAAUCCACCGAAAAGAUCAAGACGUGCCGGACGAUCGGAGAAAACGAUCAGAACUUGCGGCUUGUCUGUGUUCGGAUAACCAUUUCAUUCGUUCUCUUGGAAUUUCUCCAAUCCUUACUCGUGCGUUAUUACAAGGAACUCUUAUACGCAACCACUGUUGAUGAUGAUGAAAUGAAAACGGAUAGCAAAGAUGCCUAGAUACUCAC